AAAGUAGUAUUUUGCCGUCCUCUCUACCUUCCAAAUUUCUUGUAUACAUGUAACUCUGCAAUUACAUGGAAAACAUAUGUAUGAUAUGAGCAAUAUAUAAUCAUAUUAUAUACUUAACUAGCAAUUACAAAUAACAGUAACUAGGGAGAAGAAAAAAGCCUUACAGAAAUAAGCCCCCAUAAGCCAAAAAUAUCGACCUUUUCGGGUCAGCCUGAUCCAAGAUAAAAAGAAUUACAACAUAAGUACUAUAUAAUAUAAUUAAUCCGAAAAUGAAAUGAUUAUUGGAAAUUGGGAGGAACUAUUGAAGCUAAUUCGAGAACAUACCUUUUGCACAUAGAACCUGAUUUUAUGAUUAUACUUAGAAAAGAGCAAAAUGUGCAAGGAAUGAACAACAAAAUUAAUUAGUAACUGAAUACCAAAAAAUUAAUUAGUAACUCAAAUUGAUGCAGGCAAACUUUGUCUAUAGCUUCAACAGAAUAAAGAGAAUUUCACAUUGUUCCUUUCAUGUUCAGCUAGCUACAGAGACAUGUAAUUGCAAUGCUACAUCACAUCUCUUCAUAUACAAUAGAAAAACUUUAAUUAAUUCAUUGAUUGAAAAAUACAAGAAACAAAUUAACUAAUUUAGAUUUAGCAUGCAAGGAAUAAGAAAAAAAUCUGAAAAAUAAAAAUAU
rnacentral:lncRNA from 1 species